CCCUUAGAUGUUCUGGGCCGCACACGCGCUACACUGAAGGAGGCAGCGUGUACUCCUGGAUCGAAAGAUUUGGGUAACCCGCGAAUCUCCUUCGUGCUAGGGAUUGAGGUUUGCAAUUAUCCUUCAUGAACGAGGAAUUCCCAGUAAGUGCAAGUCAUAAGCUUGCGCUGACUACGUCCCUGCCCUUUGUACACACCGCCCGUCGCUACUACCGAUUGAAUGAUUUAGUGAGGACUUCGGACUGGGACCGAUGCGGCUUUCGGGCUGCGUCGGUAUUCUGGAAAGAUGUCCAAACUGUAUCAUUCAGAGGAAGUAAAAGUCGUAACA
rnacentral:rRNA from 1 species